rnacentral:lncRNA from 10 species
GGCAGCUUUGUUUACCUACUCACAGCUUGGCAAUGGCAGGCGCCCCUCCCCCAGCCUGGCUGCCGCCUUGCAGUUUGAUCUCAGACUGCCCUGCUAGCAAUCAGCGAGACUCCGUGGGCGUAGGACCCUCCGAGCCAGGUGCGGGAUAUAGUCUCCUGGUGCGCCGUUUCCUAAGCCCGUCGGAAAAGUGCAGUAUUAGGUUGGGAGUGACCAGAUUUUCCAGGUGCCGUCUGUCACCCCUUUCCUUGACCAGGAAAGGGAACUCCCUGACCCCUUGCACUUCCUGAGUGAGGCAAUGCCUCGCCCUGCUUGGGCUCAUGCACAGUGCGCGGCACCCACUGUCCUGCGCCCACUGUCUGGCACUCCCUAGUGAGAUGAACCUGGUACCUCAGAGGGAAAUGCAGAAAUCACCCAUCUUCUGUGUCACUCACGCUGGGAGCUGUAGACCGGAGCUGUUCCUAUUCGGCCAUCUUGGCUCCCUUAAACUGAUCCUCUUAAACACAGGCAUCUUCAAAUUCAGAGAAUCCUUCUGGAUUUUUGGACUUUUUUCUCCCUCAACGUGGAUUAAAUGUUGGACUUUUCUCACUCAACUUGGAUUGAAUGUUGUCAUAGAGAUCUAACAGCAAGUGAACUAAUGCUGAUUCAAAGACACCAAGAGAGGGGGCGAAAUGGAAGGUGUGAAAUCACAGAAACCAAGGAGCCAAGAAGAUUGAUACAUGACUGGAGCCUGAAUGGUAGAACUUUUUCAGAAGUGAGGAGUCUGUUGGCCCAGAAGAUCUGCGGUAAGAUCUGCCUCAACAUACCUUACUCAUUUUUUUCAAAGAGACUCUAGAGUCUAAAAUGAACAACCAAUCAAUUCUACAAACAUUGCAUCAUGAGGAGUUGCUGCACCUCUUCUCCAGGAUUUGCAAAACGUGUAGUCCAAAUCGAGUUCGGCUAGAACUGGUCUGUCAUCAAGAUAUGGCUCAUGAAAGAGAUUGGUGUUUAGGAGGCUGGGAAAAGGAAAUAUUUUGAGAGACUUCAUGUGCUCCGCACAUGGAGGUGGCUUCCUUUUGCCUCAGGUGAAGGGAGCUUCAACAAGAUCACUCAGAGUUUGAUCAAUGAUCUUAGAAUUUGCAGAACAUAGGGACUGCCAUUUGACUCACCCUUUAGAAGUCAGGAGGAAAGGUUACGUGGCUGGCACUUCUCAUGUCUGGGAAGGAACAACUGUGAAGUGCUGACCUAGACGAAUGUUGCACUUCCGCUGAUGAGUAGGCAAUGGCGAAUGUUUUCCAGGGUCCAAAUGUGGACCCGGCAACAGAGAGGCUGUCUGUAAUCACUUUAUAAGAGACACUAACAACAAUGACCACUGGGACUAAAGAGAGCACAACGGAAGUAGUUCUGCCAGAAGGGCUGAGGAGAGGGCUGAGCAACCACCCUCAGGGGAGGCAGACCCACAUCAAAGACAUCUCAGCAGUCCCUUUCCCAUGAAAGAAAGAGCUAGAAAUUGUCCAUUUGACACACACACAAACCAGAUCCCAGAUUGCAAUUGAUUCAGAUAAUGAAAAGCUUGUUCUUUUCACUUGCUGUUCUAGCCUAACCAUGUAGGUGUCAGAAGCAGUUGUAGGCUAGGAGAGAAGUCGGAGCAAUACAGAAGCCAGUUCUGCCUUUGCCUCAAGAUCCACUGUCCACUCAGAGGCAGGCUGGCACAUGGGGGAUGAGAACAUUCCAAGAAAGAUGUGAAUCUGGAAUUUUCAUUUAUGCAGUAGAUGGGGAUUUACUACUGAAAGGAACAUGUUUUGGCAACUAAUAGUGACCAAAAGAAUUUGUACUUACUAAAAAUUAUCUUAAAAGCAUGGGAUUACCCUAGCAUUUUGUUUCAGAAACUGAAAUUAACAGAAAACUAUAAAAUUACUUUCUGCCUGAAACCUAAGAAGGUGAACUCAUGCCAGAAACCAGUUACAUUCACAAUUACCUGGAUUUUGUUAUUUCCUACAAUGAAUAAAACUUAUUAUAAAGCAGAAAAGC